rnacentral:rRNA from 1 species
UGGGGAAUAUUGCACAAUGGGCGAAAGCCUGAUGCAGCGACGCCGCGUGAGGGAUGACGGCCUUCGGGUUGUAAACCUCUUUCAGCAGGGAAGAAGCGAAAGUGACGGUACCUGCAGAAGAAGCGCCGGCUAACUACGUGCCAGCAGCCGCGGUAAUACGUAGGGCGCAAGCGUUGUCCGGAAUUAUUGGGCGUAAGAGCUCGUAGGCGGUUAGUCGCGUCUGCUGUGAAAACUCGAGGCUCAACCUCGGGCUUGCAGUGGGUACGGGCUGACUAGAGUGCGGUAGGGGUGACUGGAAUCCCUGGUGUAGCGGUGGAAUGCGCAGAUAUCAGGAGGAACACCGAUGGCGAAGGCAGGUCACUGGGCCGCAACUGACGCUGAGGAGCGAAAGCAUGGGGAGCAAACAGGAUUAGAUAGCCCUGGUAGUCCACGCCGUAAACGAUGGAUGCUAGCCGUUGGGGGGUUUACCUCUCAGUGGCGCAGCUAAGCGCCUUAAGCAUCCCGCCUGGGGG